CACGUACUGUGCGAACGUUAUUCGGAAUCACUGGGCUUAAAGGGUGCGUAGGCGGUUAAUCAAGUCAGAUGUGAAAUGCCUGAGCUCAACUGAGGCACGGCGUUUGAAACUGGUUAACUUGAGUAUUCCAGGGGUAUGCGGAACUGCCAGUGGAGCGGUGAAAUGCGUUGAUAUUGGCAGGAACACCAGUGGCGAAGGCGGCAUACUGGGGGAUGACUGACGCUGAGGCACGAAAGCCAGGGUAGCGAACGGG
rnacentral:misc_RNA from 1 species